rnacentral:rRNA from 1 species
AUGAUUACGGAUGUAAUCUGCAACCUCUCGAUCUUUCCUACUUCCCUUUCUUUGGAAUCCAUGGAUCGAUUCUGCGCAAUCAAUCAUACACGAUCCAAGAAUAGGACGACGACGUUUACCUUCCGAAAAUCGAGCCGCACCGCACGACGACGGGGACGUCAGAAAUGGAAGAUGCCGGAGCACUUGCGCUUGAACCACCGGAGCCCCCGGCGGAGCGAGGCCUUCACCUUCCCCUUCACCGCGUACGCCUUGUACCCCGCCACCCGCUGCCGCCGCUUCAUCUCUGGGUCGUUGAAGCAACACGUGCUGACCCUGGGCACAGUGCCGCGUCGUUUCGUGGUGGCCGGUGGCGGACUAGGGAACGGGAUCGGUAGUGCCAUGGCAAAUCCCAGCAGAUUAAAUCGGCGAGAGGGAUUCUUGGAGACAAGGUCCGGCGGGAAGGAUGGCCGGACCGGAAGGAGUCGCCCCGGGAUUGGAGAUGGACGCCGCUAG